rnacentral:rRNA from 1 species
AGAGUUUGAUCAUGGCUCAGAUUGAACGCUGGCGGCAUGCCUUACACAUGCAAGUCGAACGGUAACAGGUCUUCGGAUGCUGACGAGUGGCGAACGGGUGAGUAAUACAUCGGAACGUGCCCGAUCGUGGGGGAUAACGAAGCGAAAGCUUUGCUAAUACCGCAUACGAUCUACGGAUGAAAGCAGGGGACCGCAAGGCCUUGCGCGAACGGAGCGGCCGAUGGCAGAUUAGGUAGUUGGUGGGGUAAAGGCUUACCAAGCCUACGAUCUGUAGC